rnacentral:rRNA from 2 species
UAACGACUCUCGGCAACGGAUAUCUCGGCUCUCGCAUCGAUGAAGAACGUAGCGAACUGCGAUACUUGGUGUGAAUUGCAGAAUCCCGUGAACCAUCGAGUCUUUGAACGCAAGUUGCGCCCGAAGCCGUCUGGCCGAGGGCACGUUUGCCUGGGUGUCA